rnacentral:lncRNA from 1 species
AACCGUUCCUUCAUUGGCCGAAGAUUUUGAUUUCUUCAAAGAAUCAGAUGUUCUUUUUGUUUAUAAUUGGACAUUUUGCAGGUCAUGACACGAGGUAACACACUGAAAAUUGCAGAGCAUUUUCAUCAUCUUCAUGAAUAAUACGUUUGGCUAUCCAAAUUAAAACGAUCGAUUCUCCAAGGAGCUUGGAAUCCGGCACAGGUUUUGAGGGUUCAUUUGUAUUUAUUAUUUAUAAUUUGAUUGUUCUUCAAUUGGGUGCUCAAUACCUACAGCUCCACAACAGAGAAAUUAUGACCAACGAAUGAUAGAGAUGAUUGGCAAGAAUCAUAAAACUACUCUUUUAAUUCCAGUAAUUCUCACUCAUUAAACUGAACAUCCGAGACCCAGAUUAAUGAAACUGAAAACAAAGGAUUCAAUUAUUAAAAUAUAUAUAAAAAAAAAAAGCCAAAGUCGGGGAGAAAACCAAAAAAGUUUGAGCAGCAGCAACAGCAGCCUAAGUACAAAUUAAACGCAAACCGAACCCCCAUUGAUCGAAUGAUCAUUAUGGGGGUUACACAUAAUAAUAAUCAACAAUAUUGCAUGGGUGGUUACACAAAUUUAAUUGGGAACCUAGACGCCUGGUGGCUUGGCAGCAAUGAAACUGAUGCACUGCACUUGACGCUUGUUGUCAAAUCCGAUAAUUCGGACGAAUGAAUGUGGGUAUUCCUUCUGGACCUCCCCAACCUCCUUCAAA